rnacentral:tRNA from 1 species
GGUGGAGUAGCUUAGCCUGGCUCAAAGCACUCGCCUGUCGAGCGAGAUAUCAGGGGUUCGAAUCCCCUCUUCACCG